rnacentral:lncRNA from 1 species
GUUUCUCUAAGGGUAUUUUAGACUUUCACUGCACCAAAUUGCAACGCCUUAGGGCUCCUCUUCUCUUUAUGAGAAGCAAAAAUUUGAUUUUUGACUGCAGAAACCAAUUACUCUGUGGAAGGGUGACAAUCGCAAAAAGCUCAGAUUUUGCUGCGAAGCUUCAAUUUGGACAAAGGUAACAAUGGCUUAUUCUUAUAUUCUCAUUACAUUGCUAUUGAGGCAGCACUACUAUUGGUGCUGAGUAAAAUUUUUCCCUCUUUUGGUGAAGUAUUAGCAGAAAGAUAAAUACUUUAUACAAUGGAGGUACGAGUACUUCGAGAGUCUCUCAAGGCUUGGGGAUUGCAAUAAUGGUGUGUGAUAUCAUAAAUUAUCCAUAUUUGGUUUAGCAAAGUAAUGCCCUAUGUAGCAUUACAAAGAAAAUUAACAAAUAGAAAGGAUGAAUACACAACUGAAGAUUAGUUAAUCAUUUACGCCCCUGUAUGUCCGUACUCGGAAAUACUGACCAUUAGAAAAGAAGUUAAGCUAAUAUUGGUGGUUCAUUGGGUGGAGUGUGGUAGGGCUUUUAACCAAACCAACUAGGUAAAAGAAAGAGAAGAAGAGAUUCUAAUCGACAUGUUACUUGAAACCAAUAGUCAUGACAUCUGAAGCUACAUUCUUGAGAUAGUGUCUUUUCACAAGUUUUGCUUUGAUCAAAUCCAUCUAUAUGUAGUAUGUAAAGUUGAAAUAAUUUGCCAAUAAAUUAAGUGUUGAAGUACAUUCUUUACGUUUGUUGUCAUUUUAUCUAAGUUAAGGGGUGAUUUUAUUAUUUCCUUUCUUUACUUGUAGAAAAUGAUACGAUAAAUUAUUAUAUCACCUAUUUUUUGAUGUUGUGCAAGGCGUGUCAUUUUCUUCAUUCAGAUUUUAGGAAGAUUAUAGCAUUAAUACCUGCGGGAAAAAAAAACUUAAUAUAGAUAGAUCCUCAAUUGGAAAAGGUUCUCGCUUAGUGAAAGAAGGCCAUGAUAAGAAUGCCAAAUGGCGUAAAAUCUAUGAUCAUAUGACAUGGCACUUUAAACUCUAAUCUAUGUGGAAAUUAGGGUUCUAACAGGGACUUUUCACUGUCUUCGGAUGCUGGAGUCAUCUCACGUCUUAGUUUCUUGUAGUCUUAUCUUUGAUAUGAUGGUUAAGUUUUUUCUAACAUGAUUUUAUCUUGUAAUAGGAUUGCGAUGGACACUAUUAAACAAGAAAAAGUAAGGAGAUUUGAGGAGUUUAUUGAUCGCCGUCUGAAACCAGAUCUUGUUCAUGCAAUUGCUGAACGGUAGUAAUAAAUAUAUCAUUCACUUCAGUUUUCCUGAAUUCGUUUUCUAUUACAUAUACAUUUAUUUGUUUUGGGGACUUCUUAUCUCAUUUACUGUUCAACCCUUUUCCUUGAAUGAGAAAGAUGUUUUUCAACUAAACACUUGUCUUAUUAAUGGGAAUGGAUCUUUGAUGACCUUUAGAUAAAAGGUCUUUUCAAGAAUAUUCUCGUUUUGGUGGUUCUAAGAAUGUUCUUUCAAAACUUAUUUGCCAUGUUGUAUUAAUGGUCCAAUUGUGUAGUGGAAUAAAAACUAACUAAAUGUAUUCAUGUCCUGGUUAUUUUUUGGUCAUCGAAAUGGGGCUUAAAUCCGCAUUGUCAUACACAUAAAUUUUAACAUUUAUAUGUGUGAAGAACGGGGACUUCCAAACAUUGCAUAGGAAGUAAUGGAAUGAUUUACACCCAACAUUGCUAAAGUUACCUAUGUAUGAAAAAAGAUGUAAUAAGAUUUUCUGCACAAAAUCUUAUGGUGGCCUAACUUUGUUUCAUCUUGUUGCGUUCCACUUUAUGGCUACAGGGACAAGGUUUUUGAACAACAAAAGAUUUUGUAUCCUUUUCAUGUUAUUAUAUUGUUACAUUACCAACAUAUAGUUAGAUCAUUUUUUCAGUCUUUCAGACUUUUAGUAGUAGUUUGCACUUGCAGGCAUGUGAGUUGAUGAAUUAUUUAAUUACUUAUAUGGAAAUUGACGUUGGAAUGAGGUCUACAUAGUUUUCUUAACCAUAUCUUUUCUUAGCUCUGAUUUAAGACGUAAUAUAGAGAAUUUGGAGAAGAACAAUGUAACUAAUCUGAAGACAUUGGUUAAUAUUGGCUCUGAAGUAUACCUGCAAGCUGAUGUGUAAGUCUUUCUAAUCUUUAUUUAAAUGUUUGUAGAAAAUUAUUGAAUAUAUAAUAGUUAAGUGAUGGCUACUUUUUUUUGAAUAUGUAUCGAUACUUUUUGCUUCUUUUUUUUCAUUUACAAUUGAAAAUCUGUAUCUUGAUGAUUUCAAAUACCUCGGUAUUUUCAUCCACUGCAUAUUGAUAUUUCUUCCUGAGUUGAUCUGACAGCCCAGAUACAACACGCAUAUUUGUUGAUGUUGGACUUGGAUUUCAUGUGGAGUUUACUUGGUCAGAAGCUCUAAAUUAUAUAUCAGCAAGGGAGGAGAAACUAGCCAGGUAUUACUAAUCUUUGCUUCUAUCAGUAGUGUCUUAUUUCCAUUUGAGGACUUAAAUUAACUAAAGUCAUCUUCUGUUCUUAAGAUUUGGAAAAUAAGUGCAAUGAUAAAUAUAGCAUUCAGUAAAUUGGCCAUCUUAAAAGUAGAUCAAACACCUCAAGGAGCAUUCAAUAGGAUGUAGAGUUGGGAUCUCUUUCUUGCUAAUCAGAAGAGAUAGGAUGUGUUUCAUAAAUCUAGUUACUGGUAAGUCAGGCACUUGAAUAAAUGGAGAUGAAAAGGUACGCCAGUGUCAAAGGCAUGUAGUUAGUAGCAUAUUUUAAUAGCCAUCACGCCAUUUUCCAUGCAAUGGACUGAGUCUGGCUAGGUGGAGGAAUAUGCACCAAUUCAGAGUCAUAAAAGUUCUCAAAAAACUCAAGCCGUGAAGUUGUGAAGGAAAAGCUAAAAAUCUUGUUUAUGCAAAAAUUGGCUACUCUAAUAGAGAUUUGUAUAGUACUGGUAAAGCUAAAAUCUCCUGAACUACCACCUUAAUUACGAUCCAAUGACAGCAUAACUCAACUAACAAGUCCAAAUUAUUCUGCUCAAGCAUGUUUUUUGUUUUCCAGUUUGGAUAAACUUUAAUUAGACUCUGCUAUUAAUUAAAAGAUAGGAAGAUCGAAUAUGAGCAUGUGAAUAUUAAUGUCUAAUCAGCUUAGAUGUUUGUGCUUAUUUUGCUCCCCCUUCUCUAUUUUCACUUUAAGUUUCUUGGUAUUGGAACCAACUAGUUCAGCUCUUGUUUUUUUUCUGGAGUGGAUGGAAGUGAAUGAUGGGUGCGUUUUUGAACCUUUCACAUUCAAAAAAGAGGAAAAACCUUCUCCGCAUGUUUUCUUUCAUUUUUCCAUGUUUUGAGUGGAAACACUCUGUUCAACAGUUCAAAAGAUAUUCUUCUGAGCCAUGUUUCUUGCCUUAAACUAAAUGUAGAUCUUUUGCAAUCAAAUGUGCAGGCAAAUAGAGGAAUAUACACGUCUAGUUGCAUCAAUUAAGGCCCAGAUCAAGAUGGUUUGUGAAGGGAUCCGUGAGUUGCUCCAGAUUCCACCAGAACGAGCUUACUAAGGUGUAUACGUCUUAAAUUGCUAAAGAAGAGGGGAUUUACCGCGACAAGGGACCCAAAAAGUGAAGAACAAAGCCAACAUAAUCUUCUAUCCAUUGAAAGAGCAGUGCAGAUUUUAAAAUCCUUUACACUAACACUAGUAAAAUGUUAGUGUGUUUCUGUAAAGUUUUGUUUUGUUGAGAUGCAGUAAAAUGAGUUGGAGGCAGAUUCAACCAUUGAUGUCUGACCCUCAUUUUAUAUUGUUCAUUUACCCUCAUUUUAUAUUGUCCAUUUUAGUGGUUGAGUUAGAUCAAAUGUUCAUAUCGUUUCAUACGGAAUCAUUGUAUCAUGAGAUCAAAUUCACAGUCAAAGUUAAAUUGUACGGGGUUAUUAUAUCAUGAGAUUAAAUUUAAUGUCGCGGUUAAAUUGUAUGGAAUUAUUGUAUCAUGAAAUCAAAUUCAUUGUUGAGGUUAAAUUGUGAAUUCUUUUCAUUAUCUGUUGUAGAAAGAAAGAUCAAACCAAUAAAAGAAUGGUAUAUUACCAAAUAGCAUAGCAAGCUUACACAUUGAAAAUUUGUUUGGUUUUCUAGCACCCCCACGUCUUGACUAGAG